CAAUUGCCUCCUUCUCAAAAGUCCAGAUGAAAACCCUAAAAAAAAAAUUCUAUAAAUAACGUCUUAGAAAUCUUCAGAUCAAGUUGUUUCAACAGAGUAUCAUCUCCUUCUUACAACGUAACCUGCAUCAAUGGUGGCUUACCAGACCUUUUUCUAAUGUUAGCACUGGUCGUUGUUCCGAUACGGUCGUCACGAGUAUGGGAAACCCCAAAGGGAGGAGAGCUGAUGGGAGUGGACAUGCUCCUUCUUGAUGAAAAGGUAUGGUCAAUCAUCAGGGAAGCCCAGCGAACAAAAUACUUAUGCUGAUAUCGAAGCUGCUUACAAAUGUCUGGAAGAGAACUAUGGAGCAAAGCAGGAGAACAUUAUCCUCUAUCAAUCUAUCGGUAGUGGUCCGACCGUCGAUUUAGCUGCACGUUUGCUUCGGAGUGCAGGAGAUUUAUAUUAGCAGUGUAGUAUAACAAAAACUAGACUGAAUAAAAUAUUAAACAAGAAUAAUUUACAUUA